UAUUCGUUUUUUUUUUUAUUUAGAGAUAGAUAGUAUGCUAUUUGUUUCGUUUAUUUUAUUUAGAAAUAAAUUUAGUUAAAAAUAUGAACUAAUUAGGACUCGAAUUUGAAACCUCUUAUAACCAGCUAGUAAGCAAUUUGUCACUUACGGUAGAAACAGUCGGUAUCGAGAACUAAUUUGGUCCGCCGGUAUCGAGAACUAAUUUGGUCCGCCGUAUCAACAAAUUUUUUUUUUCAAAUAA
rnacentral:lncRNA from 1 species